rnacentral:rRNA from 1 species
UAGUCCACGCCGUAAACGAUGGACACUUGGUGUUGGAGGUAUUGACCCCUUCAGUGCCGGAGCUAACGCGUUAAGUGUCCCGCCUGGGGAGUACGGUCGCAAGAUUAAAACUCAAAGAAAUUGACGGGGGCCCGCACAAGCGGUGGAGCAUGUGGUUUAAUUCGAUGCAACGCGAAGAACCUCACCUGGGCUCAACUACUAGUGGAAGGUUUCUAGAGAUAGAAUCCGUCUUCGGACUGCUAGAUAGGUGCUGCAUGGCUGUCGUCAGCUCGUGUCGUGAGAUGUUGGGUUAAGUCCCGCAACGAGCGCAACCCUUGCCUUUAGUUGCCAGCAUUCAGUUGGGCACUCUAGAGGGGCUGCCGGUGUUAAACCGGAGGAAGGUGGGGAUGACGUCAAGUCCUCAUGGCCCUUAUGUCCAGGGCUACACACGUGCUACAAUGGCGUAUACAAAGGGUUGCCAAGCCGCGAGGUGGAGCUAAUCUCAGAAAAUACGUCUAAGUUCGGAUUGAAGU